UCUAGUCCCUGAUUUUA
rnacentral:piRNA from 1 species